GCCAGUUUUAACUGUGUUAAGUAAAAAUUAACUGUUUGCUACAUUGUGCCAGACAGAUCACAAGACCUGUAGCAUUUGUAGAUAGAAUACAGGAUGAAAUUACAGAAGUAGGAACAUGGGGGAUGGUUAUAACAUUUAUUAGAGAGAGGAUAUUUAUCCUGGUCAUUUGGCUUAUGUGCGCAGGGGCACACAUCAUGGUGGAAAAACCUGGGAGUGCUGAGACUUUCUGGGAAUCAUCACUCAAAGGAAAGAGAAACUGUACUACAUGGAGCCAUCAACCCACCUUUCCCCAGCUAUCUAAAAGCAACUUGGCCUUGAGUUGGAAGUUGAUGGUUUUCAACAUUGUCUGGGGAUGCUGAAGCUGUGGCGACCUGAGGAGCAGUUUUGACCAGGCUCCCAGUGAUCCUCAAAUCCUUACCAUGUGCCUGGGACGUGUACUGAUCAGUUGUACACUAUAGAAGGGAGGAUAAAUUGUUCCCUCAAGAAGUGCUGGUCCCAAAUAAGGCACACAGUACCAGCCUGCUAAGGCUAUUGAAUAUCGGUGCUGCACUUGGAUCACAGAAAGAAUGGGAUGUUUUAUGGUCUUAGAUUCAGUUCACGGUUAAAUGUCUCAGGUAAUGGAAGCUUUUACCACAUCACUUGAGAGACCAUUGUAUUGUCUACUAGAUUUCAUAAGCAAGGAGUUUUUUAUUUAGUUGAGCUGCUUGCUUUUUCUGAGGAAAUA